UGAGCCAAGUUUAGGGUUUUCUCAAAACCCAAGCAGUAUUGAACUGAAGAGUUUGAUCAUGGCUCAGAUUGAACGCUGGCGGCAGGCCUAACACAUGCAAGUCGAGCGGAUGAAGGGAGCUUG
rnacentral:rRNA from 2 species